ACUCAAAGGAAUUGACGGGGGCCCGCACAAGCGGUGGAGUAUGUGGCUUAAUUCGAUGCAACGCGAAGAACCUUACCUGGCCUUGACAUGCACGUAGUAGAACCCUGAAAGGGGGACGAGGUAGCAAUACCAGCGUGCACAGGUGCUGCAUGGCUGUCGUCAGCUCGUGUCGUGAGAUGUUGGGUUAAGUCCCGCAACGAGCGCAACCCUUGUGAUUAGUUGCCCCUUAAAAGGCUCUCUAAUCAGACUGCCCUGUCAAACGGGGAGGAAGGUGAGGACGACGUCAAGUCAGGAUGGCCCUUACGGCCAGGGCUGCACACGUACUACAAUGCCCGGUACAGAAGGAAGCAAGACCGCGAGGUGGAGCAAAUCCCAAAAACCGGGCCCAGUUCGGAUUGAAGGCUGCAAUUCGCCUUCAUGAAGCCGGAAUCGCUAGUAAUGGCGCAUCAGCUACGGCGCCGUGAAUACGUUCCCGGGCCUUGUACACACCGCCCGU
rnacentral:rRNA from 1 species